ACGAACGCUGGCGGCGUGCCUAACACAUAGCAAGUCGAGCGAGGAGAGUCCUUCGGGACUGACCCUAGCGGCGGACGGGUGAGUAACACGUGGGCGAACCUGCCUCAUAGAGAGGAAUAGCCUUCCGAAAGGAGAUUAAUACCUCAUAACAUUGCAGUUUCGCAUGGAACAGCAAUUAAAGGAGCAAUCCGCUAUGAGAUGGGGCCCGCGGCGCAUUAGCUAGUUGGUGAGGUAACGGCUCACCAAGGCGACGAUGCGUAGCCGACCUGAGAGGGUGAUCGGCCACAUUGGGACUGAGACACGGCCCAGACUCCUACGGGAGGCAGCAGUGGGGAAUAUUGCACAAUGGGGGAAACCCUGAUGCAAGCAACGCCGCGUGAGUGAUGACGGCCUUCGGGUUGUAAAGCUCUGUCUUCAGGGACGAUAAUGACGGUACCUGAGGAGGAAGCCACGGCUAACUACGUGCCAGCAGCCGC
rnacentral:rRNA from 1 species